rnacentral:rRNA from 1 species
AGUGAACGCUGGCGGUAGGCCUAACACAUGCAAGUCGAACGGCAGCACAGUAAGAGCUUGCUCUUACGGGUGGCGAGUGGCGGACGGGUGAGGGAUACAUCGGAAUCUACUUUUUCGUGGGGGAUAACGUAGGGAAACUUACGCUAAUACCGCAUACGACCUACGGGUGAAAGCAGGGGAUCUUCGGACCUUGCGCGAUUGAAUGAGCCGAUGUCGGAUUAGCUAGUUGACGGGGUAAAGGCCCACCAAGGCGACGAUCCGUAGCUGGUCUGAGAGGAUGAACAGCGACACUGGAACUGAGACACGGUCCAGACUCCUACGGGAGGCAGCAGUGGGGAAUAUUGGACAAUGGGCGCAAGCCUGAUCCAGCCAUACCGCGUGGGUGAAGAAGGCCUUCGGGUUGUAAAGCCCUUUUGUUGGGAAAGAAAAGCAGCAGGUUAAUACCCCGCUGUUCUGACGGUACCCAAAGAAUAAGCACCGGCUAACUUCGUG